AGUACAUAAUUUAAAGUGCCGUGAUUUUUUUUGCGAUUUUCGUUUAAAUUUGAAUUCAGAAAAAGCUUGUUAAGAAAAAAAAAUGGUCGUCCGAUGAUUUUGGAAAUUUUACCACGUCUAGGUAAGUCCAAUAUAAAUAUCAUUACAAAGUUUCAAGUCUCUACGUGUAUUUAUAACCGAAUUACAGCAAAAACUCCCAAAAAUUAAAAUUCCUUAAAAGCUCAAAAGUGGCUCAAACAUUUUGGCGAUAAUACCAUAAGAAAUUAAAUCAAAAAGGUAACAAAAUAUGUGUCUUGUGAUUUUGUAUGGUAGAAAACGUCGUAUUUUUAUAAAAUAAUGAAAUCGUGAAAUUGUACGUUUUCCUAGUUUUUUCUUACUAAUGUGCUUUUAUUAAAAAAAUGACCUUUUUAAAGUACCAUCUAGACAACUUGAGUUUUCAGAAAAGUUGCUACACGUAAAAAUCGGAGCAAGUUUACUAGAAAAAAACGUACCCACAGACUAGAAGAAAAAAAAGAAACAUCUUAGUAAAACCUAUAGCUCACUCAUUACGCUCGGAAUCUAAAAUUUAAAAUUUCGCUAUAAUUUUUUGAAAAAAAUUCAAAAUAGCCAAUUUUUAAAAUGGAUUUUUAGAAAAUUGUUGAUGUUUGAAACUUUUGUUAAAGUAUGGUCUUUUAUUUUCUACGAUUUUUUAAAUUCUUUUCAACCAUAACAAUAUUGUUAUAUGUGUUUAUCAACAUAAAUGACCAUUAUUAAUUUACUUUUUCAAAAAAAAAUGUCUAUCCUUUAUUAUCAUAAUGGUGAAAAGAUAUUAUCUAAUGGAUAAGAAGAUUUUUUUUAAAAAAAUUAUAGUAAAAUUUUAAGUCCGCCUCCCCCUAAAAAAAAAAUGUUCAUAUUUAAACUAUAACGUAGAGAAGCAUACUACAAUUAUUUAAAAAAAAAAACAUGAAUCAAAAAUAUUGAAUAGGGCAAGUUAUUUCAAGUGGCAGAUCGUCGUGGGACACCCUGUACAUAUAGGGCGAUUCUUUAAGAACUUGUUAUUUUGCAAAAUUUUGACUUUUUCCCAAAAAAAAAAACAAAAAUAUUUUGACAUUUCAGAAAACAACCAGAUCUAAAAUAUUACAUCGCCGUUAUUUUUUGUCGAUCUUAUUUUCGGAGGUGAUUCGACGCGGCGCACAGCGUUUGAAUAGUACUUCAUUACACUCCCCCUACCUAAAUUUAAAAGUGGAAUAUCUCGUGUAAGGUCGAUGGAAAUCAAAAGUUUUAAACACCGACAUUUAUUUAAACUAAUACUCUGUAUACGAAACUUUUGAUAUAAGUUUACCGAUUGCCGUUUGAUAAUCAAAAGUCAAUAGUAUCGUUUCAUCCCCAAAAAAAAGGGUGACAAAAUAUAAUAGAAAUGCAAGAUUUUAGAUAAGCUAGUUUCUUAAAUUUUAAAACUAUUUUUGUUUGAAAAAGGUCUAUACUAGGCGAAAUAUUGAAUGUUCAACGAUAAACAAAUUACCCUGUACAUAAAAAGGAAUUUUUUUGUAAUGGGUAAUAUCUCCGAAACUGCUGAACCGAUUCACGCAUGGUUUUUCGAAAAAUCGUCAGAAUUGUCCGAAGAAGGUUUAAAGCUAGUGGAAUCUUCGAUCUGACCAGUAUAGAAAUUGUAUAUAUACCUAACCUGCAGUAGUUGAAUAUUUGAGCAGUCUGGGUUGCAGGAUACGAAAUAAUCAUAGGUAUAAUAAAUCAUAGGAUAUAAUUAUAGGUAUUUUUUGUAUUGCUUAGCAACCGCAUAAACCGAAUGAUACGGUUUGAAAAGAAAAUUAAAGAAAAUGCAUUUUUAAAAAUUCACGGACAACGGUUAACUGCAAUGAUAGUGGCAGGAAUUGAAAUAGAGAAUCCAGAGGGAAAACGUUUUUAUUACACAUUCGUUAAUAAUAUCACUGUAACCGCGAGUUGACUCGAUGUUUUAAAAUGUAUCAUCUUUAUGACUAACGUAUAAGGGCCUAGAGGGCAUUUGAUUAUUAUUUGUUAUGCGCGGUCGUAAAAAAAAAAGGACAACUAUAAAGGAUAGAAAUUCGGAAAUUUGGUCAGACUUCGAUCCAGCCCACUGUCCCAUAUAUAAAAACAGCCCACAUCGAUUUUUCUGCUAAUGACCUUUUUCUUUUUUUUUUCUCUUUUAUUUAUCAAUCUAUGCUCAAACACGCACUUAUUUUAUGUUUUUAUUAUUAUUAAAAACAAACAAUAAUGCGAGUAGAAUCUGUCUCGUUGUUUCCUAAAUUAUAGUCCAUGGGAUUUUUUUUUAGGCGCCAGAUAACAAGGAACAAGGACCAAAAACAGAGAUUCGCUAUCAUCUAGAACAGUAGAUCACUAGGCCAAUCCGGCCCUACUUAUGUUGUAAAAUAUUAUAUUGUAUUUUUGUUUUUAAAAAAUUAAUAUAUUUUGUAUGCUUUUUGGGGGCGUUUGUUUUAACCUAUCAAAAUGACAAUUUUUUUUUAAAAAAAAAAAUAAUGAAAUCACAAACGAAAUAUUAUAGAGACUGUUUUUAGAGAAUAUUUUAGGUUUUUUGAGUGCUUGUAUAUUUAAUGUGUAUUUUUUAGAGUUACGUGUCCUUUCCCAUUUAACUGUCCUAUAGCAGAUUAAGAUUGAACUUACGAUUUAAUGAAAAUUUAAAGAAUAACAAAUUUUGGAUUUGAAUUACCUAUACAUAAUAUCCUAAAAUUGUCUGUAAAUAUUACUAUCUUAAAAACAAAACAAAUCAAGGAAGCGUUCGAAUAACUUGAACGAUAAGAUAACAAAAUACGUAACGAAUAUGUAAUAAUUUUACGAAAUUUACGAUUUUACAUAGCAAAAAAAGUAUUAUUUUGAUUUUAUUGCCGGAUUAUACACAUAAAAUUAUUAUUAUGUAGCCGUACAACUGCGGACGAAUGUGCUAGUUUCGAUUUUUUUUUUUUGUAAUCGUUCAUGCGAAUCGAGAUAUGAUAAGAAUAAAAACACUUUUUCGCGUAUACCUAAUAAAAAAUGAUGUUUAACACGAGAUAUUGUAUAGAGGUACAUAGUAUUAUAGGUAUAUAUAAUUAGUCGGCAUCGUACCCGGAGGAAACUCGGUCCAGUGUACAAUAUUAAAGUAGGUGCCUUUAUAGGUUAUGUAUUCGUUCGCAAACAAAUUUCGGAUUAAAACGCACGAUAAUAGAGUGCCGGCGUAUGUAACGCGAUUCGCGGGACAUGGAAGUGAGAAAAAAGUAAAAAAAAAAAAAAUAUAUAUUAUGUUCUUAUGUAAACUAAUUAUUAUUACCGAGCGCAAUUAUUAUUCACGCCUAUAAUAUAAUACGCCCGUUUUAAAACUUCCUCAUGAUUUACCCGCGAUUAUCAUAAUAUUAUAUUAUUAUGCACAUAUAAAGGUACGGGUCGGUUGCAGGAAAAACGCUUAUCGAGUCCUUAUAGGUACUUAUUUGGUCGGUCACGAGACCAUUGCGCGAGACACACACGCAAAACGUCGACAAAAACGCCUCCGUAAUAAAAUGCAUCACCGGCUCUAUUAAUUGUACACGAUGGCGUAUUUACAGGGAGGAGGGGGGCAAAAGGGCGACAAAUACCCCCCCUCCGACUUCUCCUUCAACAUAGUAUUUUCUUUUUUUUGUCGUUUGCACGAAUAAUAAUUAUUUUAAUCGGCUUUUUGACAUUAAUUUAGUGCAAAAGAUAGGUACGUUUUUUCCCAUAUCAAUGAUACAGACGACAAUUGAUAGGUAAUCGCUAUUUGUACUUUCAUUGGCUAUAAAUUAUGUUUCGCAUUGUGCAUAUUAUAUUUUUUGCACAAAAAUUCUAACCAUUUAUUAUGAAAACCUAUGGGAAAACAAAAAAAAUCUCCUUAAAGUACCACUCCACAAAAAUUUCCUUUCAGAAAAGUGCUACACUUGAAAAUCUGAGCGAAAAAUCGUUCUCCUUAAAUGAGUAUCCGGCGAUACGUGAAUGGAAGUCUUAUGGUUUUACUAGGUGAAAUGUAAUUUUCAAAUUUUACUAAAUUGAAAAAAAUGUAUAAAACCGUUUAAAAACCCCUAGAGUCUGAAAGAAAAUUUACAAAUCAAUUGAUUUGCUCGAAAUCUUCGUACAUACCAAUAUAAAUAGGUUAGAUUAACCUUUUAUUAGGCUAACUGCUGUAAAUAAUCACCCUGUAUAUAAGUUACGAUUUACGAAUCAUUUUAGUUAAUUAAUUAAGGACGUAAUCAUUUUUUUUUCUAAUUUGAAUAUAACGGUGCAGAAUAUAUAACAUCGUUUCGGAAAAUGUUUUACUCGCAUUUUUUUUUUUCACACGCGCCUCGACAUAAUAUGUGUAGGUAUAAUAAUAUUGUGUCUACUUAAGUGAAAGUCCGAAUUAAAAAUGAUAAUAUUUUACGUUUUUGUCUUAUUCAAGUUAAAACAAUAUAAAAUCUUGAUGAUACAAAACGCAGGUAAAGCGGUAAAAGUACGUACACAUCGUGUCGUUUGUAAGAUUUUUUUGUUUUAUAGGUAGGUAAUUAAUACUAGGUACAUAAUUCUUGACCGAGAAAACUUAUAGGUACUUACCUACCAACUAUGCUUGGGUAUCCGGUGUGUUAUUAUAGUAUAGAUAAUAUUAUUAUGUUAAAUACUGAACUGAAAUCGCAUUUGUAUUUUUCUAGCGAUUUCAGUAUGCCUAAAGGUCGUGUGUACGACAAUCGUAAUUGUCGUAAAUUAGAGCCGACUAGUUUAACGCGAAAAAAAAAUAACAUUCAACGACCGUAGAAUAUCUCGCACGUACGUAUUUCAACCGGUUAUAUCAAACAGACGA